UUCUGCUUGGCUUCAGGCACUGCCUGCAGUCUCCUAUCAAUGACUUUUCUUACGUGGAUCCUACGGCAUAAUCACAGUGGUUGGAAAGGACCUCAGGAGAUCAUCGAGUCUAACCUGCUGCUAAAUCAGGCUCCCUUAGAGUAGAUUGCACAGAACAUCUUGGUAAAAGAGGAAUAUUCUGGAGGAGACAAUAAUGUUGCUGAUUAUAGCCUGAAGUGACCCUGUUUAUCACUUUUGCCAUUUCCAGAACACUGCAGCCAUUCGUCCAUAGGUCAAAGCAUUGGAAGAUCUCAGCACUAUUUUACCAGGAAAAAAUUGAACUAGGAAGUUUUUGAAGACAAAAUUUAUGUUUUUCACUUCAAAAACAUAUAUAGCAGGAAACUUUCUAAGUGGAUCCUAUGAAGAAUAUGGGAUAAGAAUUCAUAUAUUUCAACAGGAGCAGUCUUCUCUGACAGGUAUUACUGUGAUAUGGGAACAUUUUGUCAGCUUGUGACUGGAAAUAACCAGCAGAAGAUUUUUGUUAGUGAAAAAACUUGAGGAUGUAUAGUAUCAGGAAAAUAAGAGACCCAGAAAUUAGUGGGAAGUCAGACCAUCUUUUGCUGAUUUUGAAUGCUGUAGUCUGCAAAGCUGAUAUGAAAAAAUUAAUUAAAAAGCCCAGCUUUUUAGUGCUACUGGAAUGAUGCAUACCAGGAAAUGAAUUCUGGUGAACUUGUGAAUUUAGCUCUUAAUAAUGGAGUGAAACAUACAAACAAAGCACUCUCUUCCACAACACUUUGAUUGUAAAAUUGAAAGAGAAAAAAACAUAAUUGCAGUUGUGUUAAAUAAUUACUACUUGAAAAAGAUGAGAACGUCUAUGUUUUAUUAAGUGUAUUCCUUCACACUCACUCCUAUAAAAAUGAAAGGAUGACACUUGUGUAAAUUUGUUUGUUAUUAAGUCACAACCUAAAAGACAACUUGUUAGGAAAUGACUACCUGAUAGAAGUAAAAACACAUUUUAAAUCCACUUAAAUAUAUUACAGUCCAAUAUUUAGUGAAACCUGCACAUCUGAAUAAUCUGUAGGAAAACUCUAAAUGCUCUUUUUGUGGAACAUGCAUUCCUUUGCAGCAAGCCCCAAAGAAGAUAAUAACAUGAAUCAGCAAAUGAUAAAAGUCAGAAAAAAAUAAUAUUGAAUUUUAUUAUUCCUGAAACAUGGAGGACCAGAGGAUGAAAGCAUACAUAUACAUUUUAUCUUUCUAUUAUCUUGAUGCAAAAAUAAAUGUCUUAAACCCAUUUCUGAGAACAUUAAAAAAUAAACCAGCUGAAUGGAGCAGACAUAAAAAUGUUAGAAGAAUUUAGAGACAGUGACUGUUCUCACAUUUCUGCAGUUCUAGAUUUAAACAAUGAGCUAGAGAGAGCAUGAAGCUGAAAGAUGAUUCAUAAAAUUAAACUACAAAGAAAAAAAUCCAUUUCAUAUGGUACUCUCUUAGCCAAAUACAAUUUUUAGAGUAGUUGUCAGUUUCCUGAAGUGACAAGGAAUUAAAUGCAAAACAAGUAUUCUGAAACAAUUUCCCAUUCACACUGUUUAUAAUCAUUACAUAAGGUGUUAUCCUGCAGACUGGGAGGAGACAAACAAAAACACCUUUCAAAGUGCUGAAAGCAGUCAGUGUAAAUUGUUUCCUGAGGAUUUUAUUUUUAAUUGCUGAUACAAAGUAAAAGGCCUAAUUUAGCCAAGGAGAAAUAGACACUUUUUUUUCUUCCAUAAUUCAUGAACUCAUAUAGCCAUUUGGCACGUACAGCUAAAUUAUCAUUAGCAUAUUAUAGUCAAUGAGAGAAAUCAUAAUUAGAAGUCAUUCUUCAUUUUUUUCAGAGCAAAGUUUUUUUUCUCUCUUCUAUUGACAUAAGUCUUAAUCAUUCUUAAGUGGUUUUGAAACCUGACUACAGUGUACUCUGGGGGAAAAUAAUGUCAUGGAAGGAAUACAGGACACACUAUAAACUUCAGGCUACGUUUAAGUGGUUUCUGGUUUUUUUUUUUGUUUUUUUUUUUUGUUU